CGAGUCUUAAUUGGGCGUUAAGUUGCAGGGUAUAGACCCGAAACCCGGUGAUCUAGCCAUGGGCAGGUUGAAGGUUGGGUAACACUAACUGGAGGACCGAACCGACUAAUGUUGAAAAAUUAGCGGAUGACCUGUGGCUGGGGGUGAAAGGCCAAUCAAACCGGGAGAUAGCUGGUUCUCCCCGAAAGCUAUUUAGGUAGCGCCUCGUGAAUUCAUCUCCGGGGGUAGAGCACUGUUUCGGCUAGGGGGCCAUCCCGGCUUACCAACCCGAUGCAAACUGCGAAUACCGGAGAAUGUUAUCACGGGAGACACACGGCGGGUGCUAACGUCCGUCGUGAAGAGGGAAACAACCCAGACCGCCAGCUAAGGUCCCAAAGUCAUGGUUAAGUGGGAAACGAUGUGGGAAGGCCCAGACAGCCAGGAUGUUGGCUUAGAAGCAGCCAUCAUUUAAAGAAAGCGUAAUAGCUCACUGGUCGAGUCGGCCUGCGCGGAAGAUGUAACGGGGCUAAACCAUGCACCGAAGCUGCGGCAGCGAACGUAUCACC
rnacentral:rRNA from 1 species